rnacentral:antisense_RNA from 1 species
CUUGAUCGACCCGAGCAGCAGCGGCCGGCCGUCCGGCCGGUCCUGCCCGUACGUGGCGAGCAGCGCCUGCGCCUC